rnacentral:rRNA from 1 species
UUAAGCGACUAAGCGUACACGGUGGAUGCCCUGGCAGUCAGAGGCGAUGAAGGACGUGCUAAUCUGCGAAAAGCGUCGGUAAGGUGAUAUGAACCGUUAUAACCGGCGAUGUCCGAAUGGGGAAACCCAGUGCAAUUCGUUGCACUAUCGUUAACUGAAUACAUAGGUUAACGAGGCGAACCGGGGGAACUGAAACAUCUAAGUACCCCGAGGAAAAGAAAUCAACCGAGAUUCCCCCAGUAGCGGCGAGCGAACGGGGAGCAGCCCAGAGUCUGAAUCAGCUUGUGUGUUAGUGGAACGGUCUGGAAAGUCCGACGGUACAGGGUGAUAGUCCCGUACACCAAAAUGCACAGGUUGUGAACUCGAAGAGUAGGGCGGGACACGUGGUAUCCUGUCUGAAUAUGGGGGGACCAUCCUCCAAGGCUAAAUACUCCUGACUGACCGAUAGUGAACCAGUACCGUGAGGGAAAGGCGAAAAGAACCCCGGCGAGGGGAGUGAAAAAGAACCUGAAACCGUGUACGUACAAGCAGUGGGAGCACCUUCGGGUGUGACUGCGUACCUUUUGUAUAAUGGGUCAGCGACUUAUAUUCUGUAGCAAGGUUAACCGUAUAGGGGAGCCGCAGGGAAACCGAGUCUUAACUGGGCGUUAAGUUGCAGGGUAUAGACCCGAAACCCGGUGAUCUAGCCAUGGGCAGGUUGAAGGUUGGGUAACACUAACUGGAGGACCGAACCGACUAAUGUUGAAAAAUUAGCGGAUGACUUGUGGCUGGGGGUGAAAGGCCAAUCAAACCGGGAGAUAGCUGGUUCUCCCCGAAAGCUAUUUAGGUAGCGCCUCGUGAACUCAUCUUCGGGGGUAGAGCACUGUUUCGGCUAGGGGGUCAUCCCGACUUACCAACCCGAUGCAAACUACGAAUACCGAAGAAUGUUAUCACGGGAGACACACGGCGGGUGCUAACGUCCGUCGUGAAGAGGGAAACAACCCAGACCGCCAGCUAAGGUCCCAAAGUCAUGGUUAAGUGGGAAACGAUGUGGGAAGGCACAGACAGCCAGGAUGUUGGCUUAGAAGCAGCCAUCAUUUAAAGAAAGCGUAAUAGCUCACUGGUCGAGUCGGCCUGCGCGGAAGAUGUAACGGGGCUAAACCAUGCACCGAAGCUGCGGCAGCGACACUAUGUGUUGUUGGGUAGGGGAGCGUUCUGUAAGCCUGCGAAGGUGUGCUGUGAGGCAUGCUGGAGGUAUCAGAAGUGCGAAUGCUGACAUAAGUAACGAUAAAGCGGGUGAAAAGCCCGCUCGCCGGAAGACCAAGGGUUCCUGUCCAACGUUAAUCGGGGCAGGGUGAGUCGACCCCUAAGGCGAGGCCGAAAGGCGUAGUCGAUGGGAAACAGGUUAAUAUUCCUGUACUUGGUGUUACUGCGAAGGGGGGACGGAGAAGGCUAUGUUAGCCGGGCGACGGUUGUCCCGGUUUAAGCAUGUAGGCUGGUUGUCCAGGCAAAUCCGGAUAAUCAAGGCUGAGGUGUGAUGACGAGGCACUACGGUGCUGAAGUAACAAAUGCCCUGCUUCCAGGAAAAGCCUCUAAGCAUCAGGUAACAUCAAAUCGUACCCCAAACCGACACAGGUGGUCAGGUAGAGAAUACCAAGGCGCUUGAGAGAACUCGGGUGAAGGAACUAGGCAAAAUGGUGCCGUAACUUCGGGAGAAGGCACGCUGGUGUGUAGGUGAAGUCCCUGCGGAUGGAGCUGAGACCAGUCGAAGAUACCAGCUGGCUGCAACUGUUUAUUAAAAACACAGCACUGUGCAAACACGAAAGUGGACGUAUACGGUGUGACGCCUGCCCGGUGCCGGAAGGUUAAUUGAUGGGGUUAUCCGUAAGGAGAAGCUCUUGAUCGAAGCCCCGGUAAACGGCGGCCGUAACUAUAACGGUCCUAAGGUAGCGAAAUUCCUUGUCGGGUAAGUUCCGACCUGCACGAAUGGCGUAAUGAUGGCCAGGCUGUCUCCACCCGAGACUCAGUGAAAUUGAACUCGCUGUGAAGAUGCAGUGUACCCGCGGCAAGACGGAAAGACCCCGUGAACCUUUACUAUAGCUUGACACUGAACAUUGAGCCUUGAUGUGUAGGAUAGGUGGGAGGCUUUGAAGCGUGGACGCCAGUCUGCGUGGAGCCAACCUUGAAAUACCACCCUUUAAUGUUUGAUGUUCUAACGUUGGCCCCUGACCGGGGUUGCGGACAGUGUCUGGUGGGUAGUUUGACUGGGGCGGUCUCCUCCCAAAGCGUAACGGAGGAGCACGAAGGUUAGCUAAUCCUGGUCGGACAUCAGGAGGUUAGUGCAAUGGCAUAAGCUAGCUUGACUGCGAGCGUGACGGCGCGAGCAGGUGCGAAAGCAGGUCAUAGUGAUCCGGUGGUUCUGAAUGGAAGGGCCAUCGCUCAACGGAUAAAAGGUACUCCGGGGAUAACAGGCUGAUACCGCCCAAGAGUUCAUAUCGACGGCGGUGUUUGGCACCUCGAUGUCGGCUCAUCACAUCCUGGGGCUGAAGUAGGUCCCAAGGGUAUGGCUGUUCGCCAUUUAAAGUGGUACGCGAGCUGGGUUUAGAACGUCGUGAGACAGUUCGGUCCCUAUCUGCCGUGGGCGCUGGAGAAUUGAGGGGGGCUGCUCCUAGUACGAGAGGACCGGAGUGGACGCAUCACUGGUGUUCGGGUUGUCAUGCCAAUGGCACUGCCCGGUAGCUAAAUGCGGAAGAGAUAAGUGCUGAAAGCAUCUAAGCACGAAACUUGCCCCGAGAUGAGUUCUCCCUGAGACUUUAAGUCUCCUGAAGGAACGUUGAAGACGACGACGUUGAUAGGCCGGGUGUGUAAGCGCAGCGAUGCGUUGAGCUAACCGGUACUAAUGAACCGUGAGGCUUAACCU